rnacentral:sRNA from 1 species
GUUUUCAUUACCAAAGUAGCUUAUGUUUUAUAUUAUGAGAUAGACCUUCUAGUAACAGUAUCAAAUUUUUUGCAGAUAAGGUAAUUCUGAUUUAAGUGACACUUUUUUUUUUUUUUAAACUUGGCAGUAUUUGACUACAGUCAUUCCUUAUGAGAAAAAAAAUGGACCACCGUCUGUUGAAGAUCUUCAAAUAUUAACAAAAAUUCUUUGUGCCAUGAAGGAGGACAGUGAAAAAGUUCCGAGCUUGUUAACUGAUUAUAUUCUGAAAGGUGAGUUUUAUAAUGGUAAAGGUGCGGUGGCUGGGAGGUUUGGAUUAGUCAGUAAAUACAUUGCCUUGCUAAUACAUUAGACAGUAACUUCCCAAUGCACAACUUCCAUUAAUCUUAUUAUGCAGGGUGAGGAUUAGCUACAUGACUGACUUCUACCAACAUUAUAUAUUAUGGUUUUAUGUAAUUUAAGUUUUAUUGGAGGUUCUGGGUUGGAAAUAAUCUCCACAGCUAAACUAUAAACAUCAAGGGAGGUAGUAGAAGAAAAUUAGUGAGAUGGCACCAUAAUCAUGUGGGUAUCAGAUGUUGGCAGGUUGGCACUGGGAAGUUUGAGAAGGGUGGUCUCUGUCAUCUUGAGGACAGUGGAAAGGAGGACAGAUCAUUAGUGAGGACGGAU